GUGCUCACUUCAGCAGCACAUAUACAAAAACUGGAAUGAUACAGAGAUUAGCAUGGCCCGUGCACAAGGAUGACAUGCAAAUUCGUGAAGCGUUCCAUAUUUUU